AAAUCGGGGUCAGCACCAGCCAGGAAGCUGCCGGAAGUUGUGGGGCUGGGCAAACCGACGCCAGUCUCUGCCCUAAGAGCCUGCUUCCACUGCCGUGGACAGUGGCCUGGGAGCUGCGGGGAGGCGAGAGCCAGACUGGUGGCCUGGCAGGGCCCUGGUGAGAGAUGAAGACAGCGGGGGGAAGGCGCUGUGAGAUUUGUAAUGUUUUCUCCAGAAAGCCUGAGCUUGUGGGAGGGCACUCUUUGGGUGCCAAGACUCAGGACACCCCCUGGGGGAGUCAUCUCCUCAUGGGCUUCUCAGUUUCACCUACCGGGUAUGCAAAAACAGAACUCUGCGACUAGAAACAGGAUCUGUGACUGCAUUGACGCUUUUUUUUAACCUCUUGGAAGAGACUUGGGCGGAAUCUAAGUAUCAUUGUAAAAAUCCACAAAAUCCCAAACCCACUGAGCGAGCAACAGAUGAGGGAAAUUGUUCCACAUCCUGUCGAGAGGAAAUGAACGGGACCGGGAGGGAGAGCGCCGCGUGGCGCGAAAGCUCGGUUUUCAUCCUGAUGCUGAACAUCUGCCACGUUCUAUGCAGAGCUACCAGCUCACGCAGACAGUAGGCCCCUGGACUCUGAAGCCUCCCAGUGCACACUGGAAUGGUCCUCCUCGGCAGCUGUGGGAACGUGGACAGGAAGCCAGGGACCCCGCAAGAGAGAGUGUAGGAGUACAUCCUGUGGGGAUAGAUAAAAAAUAACAGCCAGGCUGUGGGAACCUAUUCCGAGCAAACACGUGAGCUCAAGAAUUUCCUGAGCCAACGAUCUGCCUCCAGUUAUUUGCUGUAUCUGUUUAUUUGUUUUCCCAAGCAAUUCUGCAUAAUUUUGACAAAGGGAAAGAAGACAUAAAUCCAGAGCAUAUAUGAUUAUGUUUUUAAGAUUUUGUUCGCAGAACACUCACAUGAUAAGGGACAGAGAGGCACCAGUCCGAAUGCAGGGUUUGCAUGUGGGCCCAAGGAGUGCAAGGAGAAGGGUGGGGGGCAGCCCCUGGGCCUUCCAGAUGAAGAGGAAGCUGGUCAGCAGGUGCCGCAGGGGCCAGGCCCAGGGGUGCCUACCCACUGCACACCAGCUCCAGCCUGAAGAGGAGGACUUUCAGAGCCACACAGCUGGGAAGCAGCUCACCCCCAUUACAGGCCUUAUCAGAGUCAGCAUUCCUCUGAAUCUUCAAGAAAACUGUUCCACAAUUCUUACGAUGAUUGAUAAUUUACCCAUGUAAUCCCACGUACUAGAAUUUUAAACAGUGAAUUUUAAACCUGGUGGAUAACAUUAGGUUUUCAGUACUUUUUAGAAGCACAGACUUACUUUUUAGUCCUUUGAAGAUAUGGAUCUUUUUUUGAACACACUGUUUCAGCAGCUGCCGUGGCACAGGUCUGCAUGGUGAGCGUCUGCACCCACGCAGGCACAUGGUGCACCUCCCCUUGGCCCCGGCCACUGAGGUCGCUUCUCUGCCCUCCCUGGAGUGACGGGCAGAGCUCACACACUGUGGGCCCUCUGCGCUCCCUUGGAACCUGCCUCCAGACCUCGCACGCCACUUUGUGAUUACGCCUUCUCUCCCCUCAGAGCCUGCUUUUCAGAGCAUCUGGCCUUGUGUUCAGCAAAUAGUCACGAAAUGCUCAUGGAAUGGAAUUCACCACCAUGGGAUUCACAGGUUUGCUCUCUUCCCUGUCUUUCCCACCAAGGAACUGUGCAGCCCAGAACUCCUGCCACCGCCUCUGUACCCAAGCGUUGGGAGGCUACCCUCGAAGAACCCGGCAGCCCUGGUUCAGGUUCGGACCUGCUGCAGAUACACCAGACUCACCAAGGGUGCUUUUUACUACCUUAAGGUUUAUUUCCAUUUGAUCUAGAUAUUACAAAUAGUUUUUAUUUCCCUUUGAAGAAAUGCCCCUUUACUUCCAUCACUUUGCUGCACCCCUCCCUUCAAACACUUCCCUCCCUCUCCCCAUCUUUGCUCUUUCAGGCCUUCCUUCCUCCCUUCCUGUCUUCCUCCCAUGCCUCCUGCACUCAGAGGCCAGAUGCGGCCAGCCACCCCCGGAGGGCAGGUCUCCAUGUGCCCUGGAAGCCAGACUGCCCCGGCUCCAGGCCCCUCGCAGUGUGACCUCUCUCCCCACUCACUUCCAGCGAGGCCCCCGGAGUGUCUGCCCUGGCUCUGCCUCCCUCCUUCUCUCUCCCACAUGCAUGCAGACCUACCUUCUGCUGUGGGCCAUUACAGACUAAAGCAGUUCACGCCACAAACUUGGCCUCAUCCUUGAGCUUUACUUGGGAAAUGUGAAUAUCCAUCCACCUGUGUGAUGUUUGUAAAGGAAAAGGGACAGGUGGAGGAGGGGGGCUUCCCACAAAACACAAAAGAAUCACAAAGAAGUGUUUAAAAUACCCAGGAUUUGGUGCUGAACAUCUCUCAAAGCAUCUUCUGAUUUCCCAAAGCUGAUGGAAAUAUUCUGAAGGUAUUAAUAGAAUGCAGAUGUUAGAGAAUGCGACUUAGAAUUCUGCUGAACAAAUGACCCUAUUGGGAGGUCGUUUCCAGUCUCUGGGGACAUUCCACAGAGGGCCCAGCUGAUUGUCUCAGAUUGAAACAACAUGUCCAAGACACAUUCCAGCUAGAAGAAAGCGGAACAAGGCUCUUCCAACCAAAUAUAAAUCAUGAGGCAAAAGGGCAACCGAACUCCUCAGCUCCUCCUCCCUCCUUCCCUGCUUCACCCCCACCCCACCCCCUGCCUCCCUCCCACCCCCCAAGGAAAACAGAGCAUUGAGUAAGAGGCUGCCAAGCCAAGCUGACUCAGGCGCCAGCCGGAGGCCCAGCGCGGCACAGAUGGCGGCCGUUUGGGAGGCUCACAGCUUUCAGUGCUGCGGCCCUGAUGUUUUUACUUCACUGCAAUUUGUUUCUGAUCUUCAGUCAAAUCCUUACAACGCUGGGAUCCCCUAGAGAGUUUAUACUUUGACCUUAUGACAAUUAACACCAGAGGCCAAGGAAAAACCAGAUAAGAGAGAAAUUUUAUUGAUGAGUGGUGGAUGGUGGGAGCACAAGGUGGGGUCUUAUUACUGAAGUAAAUGUGUUAUUUGUGAAAUUAUUUCCCAUCCAAUAAAAAGAAUGCAGUGUCUUUAAGA